rnacentral:lncRNA from 1 species
UAUAGUUAUAAUAUCAUUUUCUAUUUUUUUUUAAAAUUAAACCAUACAACCGAUAUUAAAGAAAAUGACAAUACACAAUAAAGUCGAAAUAAGUCAAAAUAAAAUACAACUGAGAAUAAAUUCAGAGUACAAAUACUAUAAACUAUUGUGCAUGACGGAUUCAGGCCCCCCUGUUCAUAUGUUGCUUCAUGUACUAAAGUGCCUCACAUGCCUUCGUCAUCAUGACAUCUAUAACGUCCCUAGCCUCAGAGCCAUCCAGAAAGAGACUCCUGUCAAUACCCGUCUGUCCAAUCUCCAUGAUAUGGCGACAUAUAAGCAACAUAAUGACAUGAUUUAUCAUAUCAUGCUCCUCCUAUAGUAUUUUCUAAUGAGCUUGCAUAGGUAGAUCUCCCAGGAGCAUCAUGUAUCAUAUAAGGAUGUGACAUCCUGAAGAACCACCAAAUGUAACUGUCUACAUAGCUCCAAUCACUAGGAGUUAUGGUACUUUGUGCCUUCUCUAGUAUCAGAAGAUUAAGAUAAUGAUCAAACAUAAAAUUCACAUCUCUACGUGUCAUAACGGGAGGAGCAAACACAAAAAGUCUAUAGGAUUAAACUACAUGUAGCUGAACUGCCACAUGAUGUGCUCAGGCAGAUGAGGAUACGCCAAAUGUGAACCGCAAGUCAACCAUCCAGAGUAGAAGGCAAUGUCCUCCAAGGGACACGUCUCACGGUGAGUGACGUAAGAAUGAAAGUGUAUGUCUUCUGCUACCAAACAGUCGAGAUACACUUGGUAUGACUCCAUCCCUGGGGUGCCUAGGGUGCCUUGGACACCUCUGAUGACUCGGGUACCUCUGGUUCCUGAAUAGGUGAAAUGUGUCUCCUACAAGAAGACGGAGGUAGAGAUGCAUGAGUAGGUUACACACGUCUCCUACGAGAAGAAGAAGACGGAGAUUAAUGAGCCCUAGAAGCUGACGCAUUCGCAUCAACUAGGCUAGAAAUAACAGGUGUCUGAGAUGGUUGAGUCUUUUCCCUCCGAACCAAUGCAUAUUAUGCAAUCAUGCAGUGCCUAAAUAUGUCUUGCAUAUCAGUCAUAACGCCUAUAAGUAAACCACACAAGCGUUAUACAUAUGAAACACAAUGAUUUCAAGCAAAAAAUGUCAAAAAAUCCAGACUGAUAAAUUCUGGAGUUGCAUGUCCGAUUUCUGGGAAUCAAAAUAUAAUUUUUUUUUGGAGAUGCAUCUCCGAAAUUUUCUACAAAACAGAAUAACGUCAAUGGCAGACAUGCAGUCCCUCAAAACAUCCAAAAUAGUGCAUUGAUCAAUAAAAUAACCUACCAAACAUGUUUCACAUUUACAUAACAUGUAUAAACUACCUAUUACAUAACCUAAUCCUCAAUUUCUACAAAUAUAUAUAGAAAAUAAAAAAAAAGUUUAUAAAAAUAAAAAAUUUACAAAUUGUUAGUUGAGUGAGCUCUUUUAUCGAUUUGAUGUUGAUGGAAGAAGUUUUGAAGUCGGUUGAAUAAAUUUGAGAGAAUAUGAGUUGAGAGAGUUUGAAAAACUUGAGAGGUUUAAAGAGUAUUUUUUUAAAAGUGAGGAAGGGGAAAUGGUUCUGACGCAUUUUUGAUUAAAUAGUGUCUGAAAAUGAAUCUCCGUAAAUUAUACAAAAAUGCAUUUCUGUAAAUUUUUUACAUAGUCUUAGGGACCUGAUUCAAAAACGUAUUGAAUUGGAAUGCAUUUGGAGUUUCAUAUCUAAAAUCUAAGAGUAUUAUUGAAAUUUCAUGAAAACGUGGUAGCACUCCAUAGAAUUUGUUAAAUAUUUCCCUUAAAAAAAGUUAUUGUUAACCCAAAAACAACAUGAUGGUAGUUAAUACAAACUUUCAAGUCUCAAGGGGUCACAAACUCGCUUUCAAACCCUUGUGCUCAACCACUUUAAGGACCACAAACAAGUUGCCUUAGAGGAUUAAAUCAAAAUAAUAGAAUCAAUCAUGUUAUAUGGUAUUUAUCCAAAUUGAUUUGAUCCCAUUCAUGUCCUAAAAGCUCAAAAUGAAGUAUGAUAAUAACUAUUCAUGAAAUAUGUUAGUCCAAUCAGUAUGUGGGCAUAAACCAAACAUCCCACAAUAGUUUGUGUGGCCAUUGUGUCAUUUAUUAUUUUGGUUGAUGUAAAAUCAAAAUUAUUAAUUUGAUAAAGUGGGGUUUAUUUGUACUCAGCUGGAGAGACCUAUGCACACUCUUUGUCUAGUUUUAGUAUAUAUGUUUCUACAUAUAUUCUAUGGUCUCUAUUUUGAUGAAGGGGUCUCUUUUGGGUCGUUUGAUAUUGACAUCCACAAAAGAGAUCUUAUCUAAUAUUAAUAUAAAAAAAAAACAAAUCUGCGCCAUUACAAGCCUAAAAGACCCUAAAUAAUUUUGAAUACUAAAAAAGUUAACAAGAUAUUAGUGACCUUUCACCUACUAUAGUGAGACUGGAUUUACAAAUUAGACAUAAGAUGUACUUGCAAGAAGCUGUAUUAUUUUCUUCCUACCAUUUGGAUUAAUCUACACCAUUUAAAAACUGAUCCAACUUUUAAUCAUGCUAACGUUAAUUCAUGAAAUAAUUAUUAUAAGAAAAGUUGUAUGAUGGUAUUAUGUAGGGUUUGUUCUUUUGUUAUAGUGAUAUUCCACUUGAUUACCACCCACGUGGUAAGGCAUCACUUAUUAAGAGCAAGUGAUAGAAACUCUUUGAAAAGGAGUUUCACUUCAACUGCAACAAACAACUAAGGCAACCAUGGCGAGUAAUUUAUACAACAUUAUCUAUGUCGUGCCUUACCUUGCACGCUAUUUAAAUUAGACAGAAAACACGGACCUUAAUCCAAUUGCUUUCUACUACUUGGCUAUAGAACACAACACUACUCACACAUUUGGGAAAUAUACCUGUUAUGUGUCGGUAUGCCUGACAGAUCAUCAGAAAGGAAUCACACUCUUUUCAGAACUUCUCCACCCACGAGAAUAAUGAUCGUGAUGAUUAUAAAGGAUCUCAAUUGCAAACGUAUCAAACGGUUCUCCGUAAUGCAUUCCUAAAAAUAGCAAGUUUGUCAUUUAUUUCUCUAUUAUAUUUAGAGAUGACGUCAUUGUUUCAUACGGGAAUCAAGAUUGUUAUAGAAUUUUGAUUUGGUUGUGCAAAUCUCAGGCGUGGUUGUGUGGGAAUCAAGAUUGUUAUAGAAUUUUGAUUUGGUUGUGCAAAUCUCAGGUGCGGUUGUGUGGGAGUACAUCUGCAAGUUUAACAUGCUGUCUUCGAAGUUAAUAAAUGAAUGAAAAG